GCUGGGCAUGGUGGCGGGUGCCUGUAAUCCCAGCCACUUGGAGGCUGAGGCAGGAAAAUUGCUUGAACCCAGGAGGCGGAGGUUGCAGUGAGCUGAGAUUGCGCCACUGCACUCCAGCCUGGGUGACACAGCGAGACUCCGUCUCAA
ensembl:misc_RNA Metazoa_SRP Metazoan signal recognition particle RNA